UCGGUCUCUCUCUCAUUCACGCACGCAAAUCUUUCGCCUUUUACUAAAGAUUUCCGUGGAGGGAACUGUUGACGACGGUUCUUCUUAUUUUUUGAAGGCUCUGCCACGGCAGAGCU